UACGGGGGGGGCAAGCGUUGUUCGGAAUUACUGGGCGUAAAGGGCUCGUAGGCGGCCAACUAAGUCCGACGUGAAAUCCCAAGGCUUAACCUUGGAACUGCGUCGGAUACUGGAUGGCUUGAAUUCGGGAGAGGGAUGCAGAAUUCCAGGUGUAGCGGUGAAAUGCGUAGAUAUCUGGAGGAACACCGAUGGCGAAGGCAGCUCGCUGGGACGGUACUGACGCUGAGGCGCGAAAGCGUGGGGAGCAAACAGG
rnacentral:rRNA from 1 species